rnacentral:misc_RNA from 1 species
GAUGAAGAACGGAGCGAAAUGCGAUAAGUAAUGCGAAUUGCAGAAUUUCCGUGAGUCAUCGAAUCUUUGAACGCACAUUGCGCCCACUGGUAUUCCGGUGGGCAUGCCUGUUCGAGCGUCAUUAUCCUCCCUCAAACCCCGGGUUUGGUGUUGGACCCAAGUUGUGUGAACAACUGGUCUCAAAGACAAUGACGGCGUCCGUGGGACCCUCGGUGCAACGAGCUUUUAGGAGCACGCAUCGAGUUGCAAGGACCUUCCGGGCCGGUCUCCUUUACCAUUUUACAAGGUUGACCUCGGAUCAGGUAGGAAUACCCGCUGAACUUAAGCAUAUCAAUAAGCGGAGGA